rnacentral:rRNA from 1 species
CCUACGGGUGGCAGCAGUGGGGAAUAUUGGGCAAUGGGCGCAAGCCUGACCCAGCAACGCCGCGUGAAGGAAGAAGGCUUUCGGGUUGUAAACUUCUUUUCUGAUGGACGCAGAAAGUGACGGUACCUCAGGAAUAAGCCACGGCUAACUACGUGCCAGCAGCCGCGGUGAUACUUAGGUGGCAAGCGUUAUCCGGAGUUAUUGGGUGUAAAGGGCGUGUAGGCGGGAAAGCAAGUCAGAGGUGAAAACUCAGGGCUCAACCCUGCGCCUGCAUUUGAUACUGUUUUUCUUGAGUGCUGGAGAGGGAAUCGGAAUUCCGUGUGUAGCAGUGAAAUGCGUAGAUAUACGGAGGAACACCAGUGGCGAAGGCGGAUUGCUGGACAGUAACUGACGCUGAGGCGCGAAAGCGUGGGGAGCAAACAGGAUUAGAUACCCGAGUAGUC